GCUCCCAUGGCGUAGUGGUCACUGCGCUCGCCUUGCACACGGGAGACCCCCGGUUCGAUUCCCGGCGGGGUCA
rnacentral:tRNA from 1 species